rnacentral:lncRNA from 1 species
GUUAAAUAAGUUUGAAGAUUAAAAUUUGUGAAAGGUUAUAAUAUACACUAAUUUCAAUUUAACGUCAAAUUUAGGGAUGAAAAAUAUGAAAUNCUAUUUNUUANUUUNUAAUUAANAAUNAUGUAAAAAUAUUUAUUAAAGUAAAAGAAAGAUGCUUACAUGUAUUCUUACAUGUAUUUUCCAAGUUAUAACACUUAACAUAAAUGUUCCUUUUCUCUACAAAAAUGCAAUUUAUUGUUGAAUAUUUAUUUUUUUUUUUGUAAAAAAGAAAGUCCAUGGACUGGUCCUAACCCACAGGACUUUGGGACUUUUUAGCCCUGAGAACUUUUUUAAUAAAGGACUUUUUUGACCCUAGGGGUUUUUUUGACCCCAACCCACAUGGACUAGGGCCAGGACCUAUUAUAAGGGUCUAUUUAACAGGUCUACUUCACUUACAUAGGUUGGUUUAUGAUUAAAGCGUAUAUUUACUCACUUAAGCUCCCCAAAAUAAAAAUACGAAAAAGAAAAUAUUUUCCCAAAAUAUCACUUGUAUUAUUUCUUAAUCUAUUCUAAAAAAUAACUUACUUUGUUAUAUUAAUAGGAAAUGAAGAAUAUGAAGAUAAAAUUAUAACUCCUUUAAAAUUA